rnacentral:lncRNA from 1 species
CACCGCCAUACCUUGUAAAUAAAGGCAACAGUAGUAUACCGCUGUUCAAAAUUCAUAAAUCGAUAGAAAACAAACAAAUCCGGAUAACAAACUACAACUGAGGGAAACGUAUCAAGUAUAAGAGAACUACGACACAACACCGAAACGUAAAACACACAGAAAUGAUCUAUAAUGUAACAAUGGCCAUUUCUCUGGCAUUUUAUGAAAAAUGGUGGGUUGAACCUGGUUUUGUGGCAUGCCACACCUCAUGCUUUAAUGACAGUGUUAAUAAUAACAUUAAAAUGACAACAUUAUACGACAGGGUUACAAUAAAUAAACAGAUUAAUGGGAGAAAAUAUAGG